CCCUUAGACGUUCUGGGCCGCACGCGCGCUACACUGACGAAGGCAACGAGCUUUCCUUUACCGAAAGGUACGGGUAAUCUUUUGAAACUUCGUCGUGCUGGGGAUAGAUCCUUGCAAUUUUUGAUCUUAAACGAGGAAUUCCUAGUAAGCGCAAGUCAUCAACUUGCGUUGAUUACGUCCCUGCCCUUUGUACACACCGCCCGUCGCUACUACCGAUUGGAUCGUUUAGCGAGAGCCUUGGAUCGCUGCCCGGGUAGUCAGCAAUGGCCGCCCGGGAAUAGUGAAAAAUUGUUCCAGCUUGCCGAUCUAGAGGAAGUAAAAGUCGUAACA
rnacentral:rRNA from 1 species